rnacentral:rRNA from 1 species
AUUGAACGCUGGCGGAAUGCUUUACACAUGCAAGUCGAACGGUAGAGGGGCAACCCUUGAGAGUGGCGAACGGGUGAGUAAUGUAUCGGAACAUGCCCAGUCGUGGGGGAUAACGUAGCGAAAGUUACGCUAAUACCGCAUACGAUCUAUGGAUGAAAGCGGGGGAUCGCAAGACCUCGCGCGAUUGGAGUGCCCGAUAUCAGAUUAGGUAGUUGGUGGGGUAAAGGCCUACCAAGCCGACGAUCUGUAGCUGGUCUGAGAGGACGACCAGCCACACUGGGACUGAGACACGGCCCAGACUCCGACGGGAGGCAGCAGUGGGGAAUUUUGGACAAUGGGCGCAAGCCUGAUCCAGCCAUUCCGCGUGCAGGAAGAAGGCCUUCGGGUUGUAAACUGCUUUUGUACGGAACGAAACGCGCUGAGCUAAUACCUCGGCGUAAUGACGGUACCGUAAGAAUAAGCACCGGCUAACUACGUGCCAGCAGCCGCGGUAAGAC